rnacentral:rRNA from 1 species
AUUGAACGCUGGCGGCAGGCCUAACACAUGCAAGUCGAACGGUAACAGGAAGCAGCUUGCUGCUUCGCGGGCGAGUGGCGGGCGGGUGGGACAUGUCUAGGAAACUGUCUGAUGUAGGGGGAUAACUACUGGAAACGGUAGCUAAUACCGCGUAACGUCGCAAGCCCAAAGAGGGGGGCCUUAGGGCCUCUUGCCAUCGGAUGUGCCCAGAUGGGAUUGGCUAGUAGGUGGGGUAACGGCUCACCUAGGCGACGAUCCCUAGCUGGUGUGAGAGGAUGACCAGCCACACUGGAACUGAGACACGGCCCAGACUCCUACGGGAGGCAGAGGUGGGGAAUAUUGCAAAAUGGGGGGAAGCCUGAUGCAGCCAUGCAGGGUGGAUGAAGAAGGCCUUCGGGUUGUAAAGUACUUUCAGCGGGGAGGAAGGGAGUAAAGUUAAUCCCUGCGCUCAUGGACGUUACCCGCAGAAGAAGCACCGGCUAACUCGGU